GACGAACGCUGGCGGCGUGCUUAACACAUGCAAGUCGAGCGAUGAAGUUCCUUCGGGAGUAGAUUAGCGGCGGACGGGUGAGUAACACGUGGGUAACCUGCCUCGUAGAGGGGAAUAGCCUUCCGAAAGGAAGAUUAAUACCGCAUAAGAUUGUAGCUUCGCAUGAAGCAGCAAUUAAAGGAGCAAUCCGCUAUGAGAUGGACCCGCGUCGCAUUAGCUAGUUGGUGAGGUAACGGCUCACCAAGGCGACGAUGCGUAGCCGACCUGAGAGGGUGAUCGGCCACAUUGGGACUGAGACACGGCCCAGACUCCUACGGGAGGCAGCAGUGGGGAAUAUUGCACAAUGGGGGAAACCCUGAUGCAGCAACGCCGCGUGAGUGAUGACGGUCUUCGGAUUGUAAAACUCUGUCUUUAGGGACGAUAAUGACGGUACCUGAGGAGGAAGCCACGGCUAACUACGUACCAGCAGCCGCGGUAA
rnacentral:rRNA from 1 species